rnacentral:rRNA from 1 species
AUUGAACGCUGGUGGAAUGCUUUACACAUGCAAGUCGAGCGGCAGCACGGGGGCAACCCUGGUGGCGAGCGGCGAACGGGUGAGUAAUACAUCGGAACAUGCCCAGUCGUGGGGGAUAACACUUCGAAAGAAGUGCUAAUACCGCAUACGUCCUGAGGGGGAAAGCGGGGGAUCGCAAGACCUCGCGCGAUUGGAGUGGCCGAUGUCAGAUUAGCUAGUUGGUGGGGUAAAGGCCUACCAAGGCAACGAUCUGUAGCUGGUCUGAGAGGAUGAUCAGCCACACUGGGACUGAGACACGGCCCAGACUCCUACGGGAGGCAGCAGUGGGGAAUUUUGGACAAUGGGGGCAACCCUGAUCCAGCCAUUCCGCGUGAGUGAACAAGGCCUUCGGGUUGUAAAGCUCUUUCGGCAGGAACGAAACGGUGAGCUCUAACAUAGCUUGCUAAUGACGGUACCUGAAGAAGAAGCACCGGCUAACUACGUG